CAGGUGCUCUUGGAAAGUGUGGAUAUCAGUCUCUCCAGCCCCGACCUGUCUCAGAGUACUUUAUUUUAUAUGUUCACAAAUCACAUAGCAAAGGGAGGGUGCAGUUACUUAGAACAGCCUGUGAAUAUUAUUCUCACAUUUCAGUUAACAUACUUUAGCUAAGAAACUAUCUUGCAGUGAGGUCAGUGAAAGCUGGUUAUCUCUUUCUAGGCUUGUCUGCUUCACCCCAAAACAUACACAUCCUCCUAUUACGGUUUCACUUCUCUGGAGUUCACCCAAAGUUCACAACAGCCUUGCUGCUGAUCCCCUCAGAGGGGGUGGGUUGGCUACUCUGGCUCUCUACACUUAUGUGAUUGUCAAAAAAUAUAUAAAACUUAUACAUAAAGCUUGUAAAUUCCAGCAAUUUGCUGGUUCACAUCCAGGGAAUAAAUUUGCUCUCUUCUAUUGUUAGAGAGAAACUCAAAUAUUAAGUCCCAAAGGGUUAUGAAAUAUUCAGAGUUGACAGAGAAAGCCUUGCUAUUCUCUUCAGCUUAACUAAACUUUAAACAGAUUUCCUGGCUAUAGAUUCUUGACCUCAUUUUCUAGAGCAUUUAAUUUAGAAAAAUUACAGCUUUAUAUUGUUUCCCUGCUUCUUUGAGCUAUAAAUCUUCUUGCCAUUUUGACAACAUAGAAAUGUCUUUCUCUGUAAUCCCAGCUAUU